CCAUUCUUUGCAAAAAGUGGAACACCCAUCCCCCAGAACCUUGUGAGUGUGAGGAUUAGAGCAGGACUAUUCAGCCUAGACAGAAUGGAUUUUCCCUUAUGUCCAACACUGACCAAGGGGACUUUAAAUAAUUUUUCCCGGGUUCUUUUCAGAAGGAUGAAUGACAGAUGCCGAAAGGUUUCCUUUGUCACCCAGUUGGCCCCAGAUAUUAGAAAACAGAAAAUUAGGAAAAUUUAUAGGUAUAAAUGGGUCCCAGUUGCUAGAGGAAGCUCAAAGGUGUUUAACAGCAGAGAACCAAUUGAGAGACGAGACCUUUUGCAUAAACUUAAAGCCACUGUCAACUCUCAUGAUGAGACACAGUUAGACUUACAGAUUUUGUCCAAAGAAUAUCUCUAGCUGAAAGUCGUGCCCCUAAUCAAAGGAUACAGCUGGACUAUCUCUUGGAUUUACAAUUAUAGGGGAUAUGGGCAGAAAUCAACCCCUCAGUACUGCCCCAACACCAAGUUCAUGUAAUUGCUCAAUUAAUUGGUUUAGCUACUCUCUGCAGACUAAACAAUGCCCAAUGACCCUGGAAACAAAAAGGGAAGUUGUGGUCCACAUUGCCAGGCUUAGAGAGACAGGCAUACUGGUGCCUUGCCAGUCACUCUGGAAUACACCUCUCCUGCCUGUGAAGAAAUCUGGGACCUCUGGUUCUCACGAGUCUGACUCCUCCAGAGAAACAGGUGUCCACUGUCUUGGACCUGAAGGAUGCCUUCUUCAGCCUCCAUGGGCACAGAAAGAACAGCAAGCAAGGUUGGAUUCCAGGGUCCAACUGAGAUGGGCAUCAUCCUACACGUAUGUCCUUGGGACUUGAUGGCCACCCCAAUCCAGCUUCUCAGAGAAGGACAGCAGGGACCAUGGAGGGGACAAGGAUUUCCCAACUGAGCAGGUGACACGGGACUUCUGGAGUCACACAAGGCAUCGACACAGACAAACCUGCCAGGGCUGCAAAGCACAGGGAAGGAAACUGGACCCCACGCUGACGUCCCUGGGUGACUGCCUGGGAGGGGAAGGCCCUGACACUCAGCCUGGCUUCCACACUCAUCCUCAGGGCAACACUAACUGUCUUUGCUCACAUAGUUUAUUGGGCUCUGAAUAAUGUGGGAACUUCACGACAAAUUAGAGCCAAGUGUAAGACAACGGAAUUGAACCCAUGACUGUAGUAUUUCCUGACGAAGUACAGAUAACUCUACCCUCUGUAUAAUGUACACUGUGCUCACAAUGGUCAGGAGCAUCAGACACAUCUGCUGAGUAGACUCAGCAGCCUUGUGAUUCCAGCUUAAACAGGGUUAGAAGCUUACUCAGAGGCUGGUGUUUAAUUAAAGACUACUGAUUGCUGAGGGAGUUGCCAGUGGGCUGUAGACAGAGAGGAUGAGACCUCAAGUUCAGGAGAUUCCCAUAUAGAUGGCGAAGAUGUGCUGGUGGUGGUCAGGGAGGAGCCUGGGGAGCCACAACACGCAUCUCUGCAGCAAGAGCCAAGGGCACCGCAGUCCUCAGUCACCAGGAAGGAGUAGCUGAUGUCACUGACAUGCCACAGAAUGGCCUCAAAACCCUUGGCACUUGACCCUGGUAACCAAAAAGAGGACAAAGACAAAGUACAGAGUUGCCAUGUGGUCCAGUCUCCCAUUUCUGAGAAAACCCAAAAAGGGCAGUCAGACAUUUGACAUGCACACUAUAUGUGAUUCAGAUGGACCAACUUGAGUGUCCACUUUUGCAGGAAUAAACAUGAAAAUGCAACCGAGCCCAUAUGAAUGUUCUUCCCCAUUACAGAAGCAGGAGAGUCUGACACAUGCUAGAACAUGGAUGAAGCCCAAGGACAUUAGAAACCGUGUGAUCUCAGAGAAGUCAUCGAUGCAGGUUGAAUCAGAAUCUUCUGUACUGUCUAAGUGUGAGUCCGGGUCCUGGAGAGGUGUUCAGGGCUAGCUCAGGAAGGACAGGAUAGCUGAGGGUGAAGACAAAGUCUCAGUCCUUCCUUUGUGAUUGGGGAACACUUGCUUGAAAUAAGGCACAAACUUCGGAAAUCUGAGAUGAUGGAUUCCUAGCCAGAUGAACGAAAAAACUAAUGUGUGUUCUCCGGCCAUUACUCAUGGUAUUUUAGAAAUUGAGCGCAACAUCCCACAGGACACACAGCAUCACAGCAUCCUUCAAGGAUUCUCCCAGAAACACCGGAGCAAGAUGAAGGGGGCUAGGCCCCUUAGAUCUGUGACCUUGAUCGUCUGUGAGACUUCUAGAUCUUUCCUCUUCGAUCUAAGUACAGAGGUGUGAUAGUGAAGGAAAUGCAGUCACAAGGCCAUUUACUGUACCAUCUGCCCUUGGCAUGGGCUGCUGUGGAGACCUUUGACCUUCAUCCAUCUCCCAGCUCUGCUGAACUUUGACUUCCAUAGAGCUCUCAUGGCAUGGAUCCAUCUGCUUCCUUCUGAUGACCUUUGAACCAAGCCUGAGGAGAUCAUUGUGCCAGGCCACUUGUCCUUUGGACUUGGUCUUACCUUUGACUUCAUUCUUACAAUCCAUGGAGCAUCAACAUCAUUUGGGUGUUAUUUUCCAUCUGAGGUCUUGGUCACUAAGGUAUGACAUUGGAUGUCUACACAGUAUGCGUGAAAACCAAGGGGUGAGGUAGGUAUUCUGAGGCCAAGGCACGGAGGACGGUCAGUGGCCAUGACAGUUCCCAUUGUUUUACGGGGUCUGCAUCUCUGUGGCGCUGUCCUUCUUAAGUCUCUCCAGGUGCCUCCAUAGCCCGAUGUGAUCAGAAGAGGUUUGCCUUUCAUGGACCCCAGGAAUAGGUGAACUGGGGGUUAAGCUAUUGGGUGAGAACAGGAGAGGGGUGCACUAUAACAUGCCUUUCCCGUUGGAGCUUUACACUGGAGCGGUCUGCUUCCUGCAAGGACCAUCAGUCCUUCCCUGACCCAGUCCCUGUGACCUGGGUUGUCCUCCCCACCCAGCACUGGAUCUCCCACGUCCUCCAAAGUGCUCACGCUCAGCUCCCACAGUGAACCCCUGUGCCUCACAAAUGCAUCUGCCCAAUGACACCAACAUAUAGCCAUGUUUCCUAGUCCACCUACAUACCUCAUCUUAUCUCAGUGUCCCCUACCCUUCGUGAGUCAAGAAUUGCCCAAUUGGGUUUAUAUGGAGCAGUGUGUAUUGAGAAACAGGGUGGUGUGUAGCAGGGACUGACAAGUUAGUGUAUGUGAUAUUGUAGGUGAAGCAGGUUGCACAGGGCUGUGACAAACCCAGCAUUGUAUGAGGGUGCUUUCAAGGGAAAGGCAGUACACAUGAGCUUCUAAACAUCAGGACCCAUUGGACCCUGUCUCCCACAGAAACUGCUAUAUCCAGCCUUGCUCCAGUCAGUUUCCCUGCUUCUCAAGCCCUAGAUGCACUGCUUAAUAUCAGGCCCCACUGAACACCCAAUCACCCCACGUGCGUUUCUGCCAUCUUAACAGACUUCAAAAAUACACCAUAUCUGCACUUCACACUCACUGUGGGUGAAGGCACCGAUCACACUAUCUAAUCCAUCACUGCAAGCACAGGCGAGUGUGCACAGACACCUCUACACACACAUGCACCCACAGGCACAGGUAUACAAGCAUACACACCAGCACAAACAUAGUCACACUGUUCCUUAUAUUGUGUUCAUUGUCACCCCUGCUCCGCAAACAUUGCUAUUGAUCAGGUGUGCUGGACACCCCCUGGUAAUCUACAUAGAGUACUAUGUGUCAUGUCCUGUUGGACCUAGACAGCCCCAACUGCUGCCACCCAAAAGACAGUGCUGUGCUCAUAAGACACUGCAGAGCAUCCCCCUAAUGCUCCCACACAGUCCUCUCAAUAUCCGGGACGGUCCCCUCUUCAGGCCUUACUAGAUACCAUCUGGAACCCUGCCAAACCUACGCAUGCUCUCCUUGUUUUCAUGCCGCCUGGACACUCCAUCCCCUGUCCAGAUUCCUUGAAUCACACUCCUUGCUGUCAGGCCUCACUGGACACCUAUCUGAGCCCUUGUGCACGACUGUGUACCAUAUACUUCUGGAGCCUCUGGUCCUGAGCCUCAGAGUGUGCCUUAUAUCAGGCACCGCUUGAUAAGUUCCACUUCCUACACCUGUGUUACUGCCUUAAUGCAGUGUUGAUUUUCAGCCAUGCUCACCGCCCCUCCCCGCCACUGUCUAGGUAGUGGAUGCGGGCAGCAGAACAGGGAGAUGCUAGGUAAGGGCUGAUGCCUAGCAUUCUAUGCAUGACUGUGUCGGCACAGGCAUUGCAAUAAAGUCCUGAUACCUAGAAGACUGUAUAUCAAAGUGGUAUGUGUGUAUAACAGAGCCUGUAAAAUGACGUAUUUGUUGGCCAGCCGAGUAUACUGGGGAUAAGCGUGUAUUUCUAUCCUCUUCUGACACAUAGUAUGCCACGUGUCAGGGAGGAGUGGUGUCCAGGUGAACGUUAUACACAGCACCCUAUGGGUCACUGUGAAUACAUGUGACUGAGGUGGCAUUUCUGGCCCAGCUUGGAUGGUAACUAGUAGUAGAGACUGAUACACAGCCGUUUGUGUGGCAACCUGGUGUCUAGCAAUGGAAUGUGGAAUCAGGAGAGGAUGCCCUUUUAACUAUCCCAUGAUCCUUCUAAGUCCAGGCUUCUCUUGAAUUCAUCCGUGAGACUCCACAAGGGAAGAAAUGGGGCACCACAGGAAAUCUCCAACUGUGAUCCUUACCAAACAGGAACAUGUGGGGUACACUAAUGUAAUGCUGAGGUGCCACAUGUGAGGAACUGAGUUCUGUGUGUCCUUGUUCCCUGUUCUACUCUUGGGGAGUGUAAGGUCCUCGAGGGAAAAUGUCCAUGUGCAGGGGACAAGGACCUCUUUCUGGGGUUCAGGUAAGAACAACCCUGUGAUUCUGAGGAAUGGUCAAUGAACAGGGAAGUAACUUUUCUGUCCUUUUCUAUUUGGUGUUACAGUGUGCCUCUUGUCUGGAGGUAUAUCUCUUUCCCUAGUCUGUGGAAAUUUUCUUCUGUUUUUUACUGAAUAUAUUUUCCAUAUUUUAGCAGGAAGGAUUCUUCUCAUUCUGCUAUUCCUAUAAUUCAUACUUGGAUAUUUUUCAUGAUUUCCAAAGAACUCACAUGUUCCCUUCAUACUAAAAACUUAAUUAAAUUAUCACAGACUUGUAUUUGAAUGAUUAACUUUCUCUUGUACCUUAGCUUUCCAUACAAUACAUUGGGUUUUUUUUUGAGGCUAUUCAUUGUGCUUUUAGACUUAUAUAUUUUUUUAUUUCUAGAGUUAAUUCUCUAGAUUCUAGGAUUGUUUCAUUUUUAUGUCUCUGUAUUAAGUUCUGUUUUCAAAUCUUGAAUUUCUUCCUUACUCAAGUUUUUGUUUGCUGAAUUAAUUCGGGAAAUUAUUUGUACCCUGAUAAAUUCACUGAUGAAUUUAUGUGAACAUACUAAAAAUCAUUCUAUUGCAUACUUUAUCUUGAAUUUUAUUAUGUCAUUCUGUUUGCCACUACUACAGGAUUGGCCAUUUUGGGAGGAGCUAUGUAGUCCUGGGUUUUCAUGUACCUUCUCUUUUUGUCAUGGGGCUCACUCUUCUGGAUUGAGUUUGCUGGUGAAGUGUUUCUGAUACCUUCGUGUGCAGGGAGUGUUUGGAUUGGUGUUUGCUGUUCCUCAUUAGGUUUUGUUUGGCUCCUCUGUGUUUUUCCUGAGCUCAGGUGUGGAGACACAUGGUGCUGGCUGGACUGUAGAUGGGAUAGGUGACUGGUGCUGGAUGAAGUAGCAGUGGUGUCCCUUCUGACCUCACAAGCCAGCCUUCAGGAACUGUGAUGGAAUGUGUGCUGGGCAGGGUUCAGUAUGGUCACAUUCUCUGCUCUCAUGAGCGAGGCUAUGUGUAUAACAAAGGUUGUCUGCUGGGCCCUAUGUGUUCACAUAUAUUCUGACCUCAUGACCUACCUUGCACACAGUGCCAUGGGUAUAUUCACCAAGUCUUUGAUCUAGGGGGUGAACCAUCCAUGAUGUUGCCACAGUUCUGCCAGCCUGCUAAACUGAUGUUCCUACAACCACUGUUGCUUGUUACAAGUCCCAUGUUUUACUAGCUCAAGUCAGAUGUUUGGACUCUUCUGUUUGUAUCCUCUGAUGAGUCCCCAACAUAUUAAAAAUAAACUCAGAUUCCUCCCCA